GGGGGAGCGCCAGAUCCUGGGCUGUGUCCCUGAUGCUCUGGGCUCUGGAGUUGUGCUGUUGGAAUCGCGAUCCGGGGUGCAGCCCCCU
rnacentral:pre_miRNA from 1 species